UACGUAGGGGGCGAGCGUUGUCCGAAUUUACUGGGCGUAAAGAGCGCGUAGGCGGGUUCUUAAGUGAGAGGUGAAAGGUUCAGGGCUCAACCCGAACAGUGCCUUUCAUACUGGGAGCCUUGAGUGUGGGAGAGGUGAGUGGAAUUCCUGGUGUAGCGGUGAAAUGCGUAGAUAUCAGGAGGAACACCUGUGGCGAAAGCGGCUCACUGGACCAUAACUGACGCUGAUGCACGAAAGCUAGGGGAGCAAACAGG
rnacentral:rRNA from 1 species